rnacentral:rRNA from 1 species
AUUGAACGCUGGCGGCAUGCCUUACACAUGCAAGUCGAACGGUAACAGGUUAAGCUGACGAGUGGCGAACGGGUGAGUAAUACAUCGGAACGUGCCCAGUAGUGGGGGGUAGCCCGGCGAAAGCCGGAUUAAUACCGCAUACGACCUAAGGGUGAAAGGGGGGGAUCGCAAGACCUCUCGCUAUUGGAGCGGCCGAUGUCAGAUUAGCUAGUUGGUGGUGUAAAAGCUCACCAAGGCGACGAUCUGUAGCUGGUCUGAGAGGACGACCAGCCACACUGGGACUGAGACACGGCCCAGACUCCUACGGGAGGCAGCAGUGGGGAAUUUUGGACAAUGGGCGCAAGCCUGAUCCAGCCAUGCCGCGUGCGGGAAGAAGGCCUUCGGGUUGUAAACCGCUUUUGUCAGGGAAGAAAUCCUUUGGGUUAAUACCUCGGGGGGAUGACGGUACCUGAAGAAUAAGCACCGGCUAACUACGUG